rnacentral:rRNA from 1 species
AUACGUAGGGUGCAAGCGUUAAUCGGAAUUACUGGGCGUAAAGCGUGCGCAGGCGGGUUUUUAAGUCAGAGGUGAAAUCCCCCGGCUCAACCUGGGAACUGCCAUUGAUACUGGAAGGCUGGAGUGCGGCAGAGGGGGGUGGAAAUCCGUGUGUAGCAGUGAAAUGCGUAGAUAUGCGGAGGAACACGGAGGGCGAAGGCAAUCCCCGGGGCUUGCAGUGACGCUCAUGCACGAAAGCGUGGGGAGCAAACGGGAUUAGAUACCCGGGGAGUCCACGCCCUAAGCGAUGUCAUCUGUUUGUUGGGGAUUUAUUUUCUCAGUAACGAAGCUAACGCGUUAAGUUGACCGCCUGGGGAGUACGGCCGCAAGGUUAAAACUCAAAUGAAUCGACGGGG